AACUUUUAGCAACGGAUCUCUUGGCUUUCGCAUCGAUGAAGAACGCAGCGAAAUGCGAUACGUAAUGUGAAUUGCAGAAUUCAGUGAAUCAUCGAAUCUUUGAACGCACCUUGCGCCCCUUGGUAUUCCGAGGGGCACACCCGUUUGAGUGUCGUGAAAAUCUCAACCUUCUCGGUUUCUUCUGGAGACCGAAGGAGGCAUGGACUUUGGAGGCCUUUGCUGGCGUCUCUCGCCAGCUCCUCUCAAAUGAAUUAGUGGGGUCCUCUUUGCCGAUCCUCGACAUGUGAUAAGAUGUUUCCAUGUCUUGGUUUAUGGCUCUGUUGCUUUUGGGACCCGCUUCUAACCGUCUCAACGAGACAACGUUCGAGCGUGUCGAACACUCUUGAACCCACGAACCCUUGACCUCAAAUCGGGUGAGACUACCCGCUGAACUUAAGCAUAUCAAUAAGCGGAGGCU
rnacentral:misc_RNA from 1 species